rfam:Schistosoma margrebowiei strain Zambia genome assembly, scaffold: SMRZ_contig0002523
GCACUGCUGAUGAGUCCCACAAUAGGACGAAAAGGCCAUCCAGUAC